UUGGCUGCACAGUGAACCUUCUUAAUUUCUACAAAUCGGAAAUCAACAAAGAGGAGAUGUACAUCCGUUACAUCCACAAAUUGUGUGACAUGCAUCUGCAGGCUGAGAACUACACUGAGGCUGCAUUCACCCUGCUGUUGUACUGGGAGCUGC